rnacentral:rRNA from 1 species
UACGUAGGUGGCAAGCGUUAUCCGGAAUUACUGGGCGUAAAGCGUGCGCAGGCGGUCAUGCAAGACAGAUGUGAAAUCCCCGGGCUCAACCUGGGAACUGCAUUUGUGACUGCAUGGCUGGAGUGCGGCAGAGGGGGGAUGGAAUUCCGCGUGUAGCAGUGAAAUGCGUAGAUAUGCGGAGGAACACCGAUGGCGAAGGCAAUCCCCUGGGCCUGCACUGACGCUCAUGCACGAAAGCGUGGGGAGCAAACAGG